rnacentral:rRNA from 1 species
AUUGAACGCUGGCGGCAGGCCUAACACAUGCAAGUCGAACGGUAACAGGAAGCAGCUUGCUGCUUCGCUGACGAGUGGCGGACGGGUGAGUAAUGUCUGGGAAACUGCCUGAUGGAGGGGGAUAACUACUGGAAACGGUAGCUAAUACCGCAUAACGUUGCAAGACCAAAGAGGGGGACCUUCGGGCCUCUUGCCAUCGGAUGUGCCCAGAUGGGAUUAGCUAGUAGGUGGGGUAAAGGCUCACCUAGGCGACGAUCCCUAGCUGGUCUGAGAGGAUGACCAGCCACACUGGAACUGAGACACGGUCCAGACUCCUACGGGAGGCAGCAGUGGGGAAUAUUGCACAGUGGGCGCAAGCCUGAUGCAGCCAUGCCGCGUGUAUGAAGAAGGCCUUCGGGUUGUAAAGUACUUUCAGCGGGGAGGAAGGCGAUAAGGUUAAUAACCUUGUCGAUUGACGUUACCCGCAGAAGAAGCACCGGCUAACUCCGUGCCAGCAGCCGCCGUAAGAC